GAAUAAAAAAAAAUGAAAAAUGAAAAAUGAAAAAUGAAAUGAUAAAAAAAGUAAUUACAGUAAUUCUAAAGGUAUCACUCGACUCUGA
rnacentral:ribozyme from 1 species